UGAAGGGUGACGGCGGGCGUUCAUUCAGAGGAAAAGGCUGGUGGGGAGGUCGCUCCUUUUGUUUGCGUUGACAGUAUUUUUAUUCCUGCCUUCUGAGAAUGGUUGCUGCUUUAGAACACCAGAAUGGCUAUGGUAGGAGUGAUUUUGUUUCCAUCCCAAUGUACUGCAGCCAACAGAUUCUAG